UAAGGCAGCCUCUGCUCCUGGUCGCUGAUUAUUCUCUUGGGAGCUGUGGCGAACCGAGCCUCUGAAGAGUCCCUGAGGAACUCCCCGCGCCGUUUGCGGUGCGACGGGCACUGACAGAGUCAGCAAAGGGAAGGGUCCUGCCUGCUCUUUCGUCCGCGAGACUCGUGUCCCCAGCCCUCGAGGAUCUCCAACAGACCCAAGUCUGGGCAGGCUGAGCUGGAGGAAACUUGGCCUCCGGCCACCCUGAGGAGACUGAGAAACUUUUGGUCAACAGGGUGCCUUUCCUUUACUUGGAACUGAGAACCAAAACAAAAGUUUCCGAGGCCGGAAAGGAAACGCGCAGCGUGUCGUCUGCGAGUCCUGGAACUGUGGACACCGAGCCAGCGGGGACGGGCCCAGGACUGGACCCGCCCGGGCGGCGGCAGCCCCGCGCCUUCCAGGAUGUGUACGCGGAGCCUGCGGUUCUCUUAGUAACUUGUACCUUGUGGAAAGAGACGACUGCCAGCACGCCUCGGCCUACUAGAAGCCCUAAAUGCCCUUCCGUGCUUGCUUUCUUGUGGAGGUCUCAGAUUCGCAGAUUCGUUGUAGUCGGGUCAGCUAUGUCCUAAACCUACCGUUCUUGAAACAAAACCCCGCAGUUAGGAUGGUGAUUAAGGUGACUAAAUUCCAGAAGAGAUGGUAUAAUAUAAGAAGAAUGUGGAUGAUAUUAGUCACCUUCUGACCUUUUGAGUGAAGUCUCCAGGGAUGCACAGAUACUCUGGCAGAGGAUACCUAAGGCCCUAAAAAAUUGCCCAAUACUCAGCAGUUCACCGAGAGUGUCCUCCUUUAGCAGUGAUGUGAGGGCGCCAUUGAUAAUGGAGUUGAAAGAACUUCUGACAAAGUCUUUCUGGGACCAGCUAGCAUCCUAGGAAUGAAUACUUACAAGAACUGGAAGAACAGAGCAUUAAGAAUUGUACCACAAAAGCCCAAGCAAGAAGCAGUAUGCUAAGAACGAAGGGAGUAUAUGUGGCAGAACCAAGACUGGAGGAAGUGUACAGUACGGUCAUCCUUGAAGACCUGCUGAAGCUGGGCAAGAAUCUGAACGACCAGUUACUAUGAUCUGGAGAUGGUUUGCUCCCCAGAGAAAUGAGAUCCAUGUCUCCUCCCCUUGGCACUGGGCAGGAAUGUGAUUACAGUACAAAUAAUGCUACGUGACUUUUGAGGCCAGGUCAUAACUAGCAGAGCAGCAUCCACGCGGUUCUCUUAGGACACCUGACCUUGAAACCCAAGCACCAUCCUGUGAAGAAGAGGGCAGGCCAUGAAGAAGUCCACAACACCAGAAACUGAAGCUCACAGCCCAUCCUUAGCUGCCAUCCCAGCCUACAGGUGUCGCCAGUUAUGAAUGUGUCAUCUGGACAGCAGGUCCUACAGGCUUCAGGCAAGUGACUCUAGCCAAUGAAAUGUAGGGCACAAAUGUGCUUUCCUUCUAAGCCCUCUACCCUAAGAGCCGAUCCAUGAGCAAAAUAAAGGAUAUUAUUGGAUAUCACCUGUUUGUCUCCAUAAAAAUCAAAGCUUCAGUCUCAUAGGGGAACUUUUCCUGAAGACUCUGGUAGUCAUUAAAUUUUUGCCACAACUUUCACCAAAUUGUUAAGCUGCUCCAAGGGGACAAAAAUAUAAAUAAAUGUGUU